rnacentral:rRNA from 1 species
CGCGAAUAGCUCAUUACAACAGCUAUAAUUUACUUGAAUUUGACAACCCUACUUGGAUACCGGUGGUAAUUCUAGCGCUAAUACAUGCACCAAAGCCCCGACCGCGAGGGAAGAGCGCAUUUAUUAGAACAAAACCACACGGCUUCGGCCGUCCAAUGUUGACUCAGAAUAACUAAGCUGAUCGCAUGGUCUUGCACCGGCGACGUUUCUUUCAAGUAUCUGCCUUAUCAACUUUCGAUGGUAGUGUAUCUGACUACCAUGGUGAUGACGGGUAACGGAGGAUAAGGGUUCGACUCCGGAGAAGGGGCCUGAGAAAUGGCCACUACGUCUAAGGAUGGCAGCAGGCGCGCAAAUUACCCACUCUCAGUACGAGGAGGUAGUGACGAGAAAUAACAAGACCGUUCUCACAAGAGGCCGGUCAUUGGAAUGGGUACAAUUUAAACCCUUUAACGAGUAUCUAUGAGAGGGCAGGUCUGGUGCCAGCAGCCGCGGUAAUUCCAGCU